UACGUAGGGUGCAAGCGUUGUCCGGAAUUAUUGGGCGUAAAGAGCUCGUAGGCGGUCUGUCGCGUCGGCUGUGAAAUCCCGGAGCUCAACUCCGGGUCUGCAGUCGAUACGGGCAAACUGGAGUACUGCAGGGGAGACUGGAAUUCCUGGUGUAGCGGUGAAAUGCGCAGAUAUUAGGAGGAACACCUGUGGCGAAAGCGGCUCACUGGACCAUAACUGACGCUGAUGCACGAAAGCUAGGGGAGCAAACAGG
rnacentral:rRNA from 1 species